GGCUACGUCAAGGAGUCGGUCCUGAGAGCAGCGAGGCAGGAGUGAGGUCGAGUGGGCAGGCGUGAGAGCCGAGCACAGGGGCAGAAAGGAAGACUCUGCACCCAGAAAGCGGAAAGGAGAUGGAGUUUCGCUCCGUCGCCCAGGCUGAAGUGCAGUGGCGUGAUCUUGGCUCGUUGCAACCUCCACCUCCCGGGUUCAAGAGAUUCUCCUGCCUCAGCCUCCUGAGCAGCUGGGAUGACAGGCACACACCACCACGCCUGGCUAAUUUCUGUAUUUUUAGUAGAGACGGGGUUUCACCAUGGUCUGGUGACCUCCUGGUCUCGAACUCCUGACCUCAAGUGAUCCUCCCGCCUCAGCCUCCCAAAGUUCUGGGAUUACAGGCAUGAGCCACCGCACCCGGCUGCUUCCUUAACUCUUGAUCUCCUCUCUGUAUCUUGCUUUGUCUAGCUGUUCUCUUCUCUCCAUAUUCAUCCAAACAUUUGCUUAGAAGUACCCAGAAGCAUGGCGUUGAAUGUGGUACACCUUGAACGAAGGGUGAAGAAACGAGGCAGAGUGACUUAGUAGCAAGUGACAGCACACAGUUUAAAUUUUAAUAUUAGCCCAUUUACAAACAACAGCUUAUAUAAUAGUCAUUCACAUACCUCAACACUCACCAUCCCCUCCCCACUUUUUUUCUGGAGACAGGGUUUCACUGUCACCCCAGCUGGAAUGCAGGUGGCAU
rnacentral:lncRNA from 10 species